rnacentral:rRNA from 1 species
CAUUACACAUGCAGUCGAACGAUGAACCGGUUUCGGCCGGGGAUUAGUGGCGAACGGGUGAGUAACACGUGGGCAAUCUGCCCUGCACUCUGGGACAAGCCCUGGAAACGGGGUCUAAUACCGGAUACGACCUUCGAGCGCAUGCUUGAGGGUGGAAAGCUCCGGCGGUGCAGGAUGAGCCCGCGGCCUAUCAGCUUGUUGGUGGGGUGAUGGCCUACCAAGGCGACGACGGGUAGCCGGCCUGAGAGGGCGACCGGCCACACUGGGACUGAGACACGGCCCAGACUCCUACGGGAGGCAGCAGUGGGGAAUAUUGCACAAUGGGCGAAAGCCUGAUGCAGCGACGCCGCGUGAGGGAUGACGGCCUUCGGGUUGUAAACCUCUUUCAGCAGGGAAGAAGCGAAAGUGACGGUACCUGCAGAAGAAGCGCCGGCUAACUACGUGCCAGCAGCCGCGGUAAUACGUAGGGCGCAAGCGUUGUCCGGAAUUAUUGGGCGUAAAGAGCUCGUAGGCGGCUUGUCGCGUCGGAUGUGAAAGCCCGGGGCUUAACCCCGGGUCUGCAUUCGAUACGGGCAGGCUAGAGUUCGGUAGGGGAGAUCGGAAUUCCUGGUGUAGCGGUGAAAUGCGCAGAUAUCAGGAGGAACACCGGUGGCGAAGGCGGAUCUCUGGGCCGAUACUGACGCUAAGGAGCGAAAGCGUGGGGAGCGAACAGGAUAAACCCCCCGGGGAAAAAAGUCCUUUUUGUU